GAUGAACGCUGGCGGCGUGCCUAAUACAUGCAAGUCGAGCGAACGGACGAGAAGCUUGCUUCUCUGAUGUUAGCGGCGGAAGGGUGAGUAACACGUGUAUAACCUACCUAUAAGACUGGGAUAACUUCGGGAGACCGGAGCUUAUACCGGAUAAUAUUUUGAACCGCAUGGUUCAAAAGUGAAAGACGGUCUUGCUGUCACUUAUAGAUGGAUCCGCGCUGCAUUAGCUAGUUGGUAAGGUAACGGCUUACCAAGGCAACGAUGCAUCGCCGACCUGGGAGGGUGGUCGGCCACACUGGAACUGAGCCACGGUCCAGACUCCUACGGGAGGCAGCAGUAGGGAAUCUUCCGCAAUGGGCGAAAGCCUGACGGAGCCACGCCGCGUGGGUGAUGAAGGUCUUCGGAUCGUAAAACUCUGUUAUUAGGGAAGAACAUAUGUGUAAGUAACUGUGCACAUCUUGACGGUACCUAAUCAGAAAGCCACGGCUAACUACGUG
rnacentral:rRNA from 1 species